GAUGAACGCUAGCGGCAGGCCUAAUACAUGCAAGUCGAACGGUGUCUUCGGACAUAGUGGCGCACGGGUGCGUAACACGUAUGCAACCUACCUUACAUUGGGGGAUAGCCUUUCGAAAGGGAGAUUAAUACCGCAUAAGACAGUAGCUGGGCAUCCAGCAGCUGUUAAAGGUUUAUCGAUGUAAGCUGGGCAUGCGUCCAAUUAGCUAGUUGGUGAGGUAACGGCUCACCAAGGCAAUGAUUGGUAGGGGAACUGAGAGGUCAAUCCCCCACACUGGCACUGAGAUACGGGCCAGACUCCUACGGGAGGCAGCAGUAGGGAAUAUUGGGCAAUGGACGCAGGUCUGACCCAGCCAUGCCGCGUGCAGGAUGAAGGCGUUAUGCGUUGUAAACUGCUUUUAUACAGGAAGAAACGACUCUUGCGAGAGGCAUUGACGGUACUGUAUGAAUAAGCACCGGCUAACUCCGUGCCAGCCGCCGCUGUAACAC
rnacentral:rRNA from 1 species